rnacentral:ncRNA from 1 species
AGAGUCGCGAUGACGAGAUAAGUAAAUAAGAAUGUUUAGGUAGAGAGCUUGUGGUUGGUGAAAACAAGUUAAACGGCAUUAUUGAAAAUGGUCUCUGAGCAAAAGUAAUUUGAGCCAAUGGUUAGAGUUACUCGGGAACUCCCGUUACAGAGGACGAGUAUUAUCUAUUUUUGAGACGUACUCUGUGAGGUUAUGUCAGUGAUGGCAUGACGCAUAAAGGUGGUACCGUGAUUAAAGCUUUCACCCUUUAC